UACGUAGGGUGCAAGCGUUAAUCGGAAUUACUGGGCGUAAAGCGUGCGCAGGCGGUUGUGCAAGACAGAUGUGAAAUCCCCGGGCUUAACCUGGGAACUGCAUUUGUGACUGUAUGACUAGAGUACGGUAGAGAGGGGUGGAAUUCCUGGUGUAGCAGUGAAAUGCGUAGAUAUCAGGAGGAACAUCGAUGGCGAAGGCAGCCCCUUGGACCUGUACUGACGCUCAUGCACGAAAGCGUGGGGAGCAAACAGG
rnacentral:rRNA from 1 species